rnacentral:ncRNA from 16 species
GCCCCAUUGGCGCAGUCGGUUAGCGCAUGGUACUUAUAUUAUGCCAAGGUCGCCAGUUCGAGCCUGGCAUGGGGCA